rnacentral:lncRNA from 1 species
UGCAUCACUGGUCAGGCUCCUCUAUACACAGUCAGUUAUCUGGAACACUGUCUGUGCGGGUCUUUUCUCUCUUAGUCUGCCCUGUGAACUCCAGCUAUCUUGGCUUCCCUGGGCUCCCAAAUGUGGAUCUGGAAUCAGGAAAACCACCACUCAGCUCUGCCUGCAUUCCCCAACACUGCAUCAUGAUCUAGAAAUGUUCUCCAGGUUGAAGGAGCAAAUCCCUUCCCCUACACCAGGCUGCCCACCAAGUGGGAGGUUGCUGCCAGCCUGUCUCACUGCACCUGCCCCAAGACAUGGACUCAAACAAGAACUAGUGAAGAGACAACCAAAUUAUGUCACAUACUAUUUUUGCUUAUAAAUUCUAUUCCCUC